rnacentral:rRNA from 1 species
UGCGUAGGUGGUUGUUUAAGUCUGUCGUGAAAGCCCAGGGCUCAACCUGGGAAUUGCGAUGGAAACUGGGCGACUAGAGUGUGGCAGAGGGUAGUGGAAUUCCUGGUGUAGCAGUGAAAUGCGUAGAGAUCAGGAGGAACAUCCGUGGCGAAGGCGACUGCCUGGGCCAACACUGACACUGAGGCACGAAAGCGUGGGAGCAAACA